UACGUAGGGUCCAAGCGUUGUCCGGAUUUAUUGGGCGUAAAGAGCUCGUAGGCGGUUCGGUAAGUCGGAUGUGAAAUCUCCACGCUCAACGUGGAGGGGCCAUUCGAUACUGCCGUGACUCGAGUCCGGUAGGGGAGUGUGGAAUUCCCGGUGUAGCGGUGAAAUGCGCAGAGAUCGGGAGGAACACCAGUGGCGAAGGCGGUUGCCUGGAGCUUUGCUGACGCUGAUGCGCGAAAGCGUGGGGAGCGAUCCGG
rnacentral:rRNA from 1 species